rnacentral:misc_RNA from 1 species
CACCACUCAAGCCUCGCUUGGUAUUGGGCGACGCGGUUGAAAAGCCGCGCGCCUCUAAACGACCGGCUGGGUCGACCGUCCCUCAGCGUUGUGGAAACAGUUCGCUACGGGUCGCGGUCGUGCACGCCGUUAAACAAACCAACUCAAA